rnacentral:lncRNA from 1 species
AUUGCGGAGCUCGCUAGUUGGGGCGUUGGCCUUCCUUAGGAGUGUGAGUCUAGCGUUAUCCCUUUUUUCCGGCUGGAUCCCGGGUUACCCCACCAGCCCGACCUCAACCCACUCACGUCCACAGCACGAGCCCCAGCGGCCUUGCGCGGUGCUUGCUCUCUAGUAGCGGCUGACUAGGUCAGUCAGGAUCUUUGAUUUUGGAGCACAAGCCUUCUGCGUGCUACUGACUGGGUCCUGGCCUCCCUCCUUCCAUGGCAUCGUCGUGAAUGGGAAUUUCCACCACUGCCUCCAUUAGGGUCUUCUUGGUGCGGGAAGUCCCCAGGGUAGAUGUCCUGAGAGUCAACAGUGAAGCCGCAUGGGGAGACUUGUGCCACAUCUGCUUCCAGUCAGUCCCUCUGCUGAGGGCCACAGGGCCGCUGCUGCUCGUGAGAAUUCCGGCUCUCAUGGCCUCCCACUGCCAAAGAGAAGAAAGGGCCAAACUGCCAAGUGACCUUCAUCAUACCACAUGCUUCUCAGUGUAAACACGUUCCUGGGGACGUAUACUAAAGUCAGAAUGGUAUACCUUUCCUUCAUUCCACUGUCAGAGAGUAUGUAUGCAUUCCUCAGACUGGGGUUUUAAACCUUGGCUCUCGCUCAAAUGUGAAGUAAUCAGAAGUGAUAUGUUGAUAAAUUGUCUACUUGUUUGAUGUAAGCAGGGAAAAGCCAUUUUCCAUGUAGAGUUUGAAAAUCAUACUUAGUUUACUUACACUAAGUACAAAGAAAGUUCCACCCUCCUACUGAAUAGGAGACUUAUUGAACCUGCUGCUUGACAGUUGCUUAAAAAUAUUUUAAUAUUAGCUGUAGGCUCCUAGAAACAAAAAGUGUAUUUAUAAAAAAAUUACAUUUUAGGCCAGGCACGGUGGCUCACACCUGUAAUCCCAGCACUUUGGGAGGCUGAGGCGGGUGGAUCACGAGGUCAGGAGAACAAGAUCAUCCUGGCUAACAUGGUGAAACCCCGUCUCUACUAAAAAUACAAAAAUUAGCUGGACGUGGUGGUGGGUGCCUGUAGUCCCAGCUACUAGGGAGGCUGAGGCAGGAGAAUCGCUUGAACCCAGGAGGUGGAGGUUGCAGUGAGCUGCGAUCACGCCACUGCACUCCAGCCUGGUGACAGAGCUAGACUCUGUCUCCAAAAAAAAAAAAAAAAAA